rnacentral:rRNA from 1 species
GAAACUGAUCUUCCCGUGAAGAAGCGGGAAUAUACCUAUAAGACGAGAAGACCCCAUGGAGCUUUAAAUCCAACAGCACCUAUUACCCAUAUAUCUUUAUAUUUUUUUAGCAAAUGCUCGUUCGGUUUUAGGUUGGGGUGACCAUGGAGUAAAAAAUAACCUCCACGAAAAAAGGCAUAAAACCCUUAUCAAAGAGCCACAUCUCUAUGAAUUAGUAAACUAAUUUCUGAUGAUCCGAUAUUCGAUCAACGAACCAAGUUACCCUGGGGAUAACAGCGCAAUCCGCCUUAAGAGCCCCUAUCGACAGGCGGGUUUACGACCUCGAUGUUGGAUCAGGGUAUCCCAGUGGUGCAACAGCUACUAAAGGUUCGUUUGUUCAACGAUUAAAACCCU